rnacentral:rRNA from 1 species
UACGUAGGGGGCAAGCGUUAUCCGGAAUUACUGGGUGUAAAGGGAGCGUAGACGGUAAUGUAAGUCUGGAGUGAAAGGCGGGGGCCCAACCCCCGGACUGCUCUGGAAACUAUGUUACUAGAGUGCAGGAGAGGUAAGCGGAAUUCCUAGUGUAGCGGUGAAAUGCGUAGAUAUUAGGAGGAACACCAGUGGCGAAGGCGGCUUACUGGACUGUAACUGACGUUGAGGCUCGAAAGCGCGGGGAGCAAACAGG